UAUUGGUGAAUAGAGAAACAGCAAGCAAAACAACAUACAAAAAUCCAGCAAAAUGGUUCGCUAUGUGUGAACUAAUACCAGCUACUUCUAAAAGGGAAAGCCCUAGAAGAGCAACUAGAGAAAUUUUGGUCUGUGGUUAAUAUUGACUAUUAAUAGAAAAAUGACUACCUCUGAGCAGGACAUUUUGGUCUAGUUGAAAAUAUUUAUUGUCUGCAAUUUGCUGGGCACUGUGCUGGUGUCUAUGGAAUAUAAACAUGAACUUUGAUUUCUCUUUUUGUAGAGUUUGCAAUUCAAUUGCUAUUUUGAAAAGGUCUAAUUACUCUUUUGGAAUAUUAUGGAGAUCCUGGGAUUAUGGGGUCAAGACCUAUUCUUUUCAGAUCUAAUAGGUCAUGUUGCCUUAUUUGGUUGAGGGGAAAGAAGAAAGAUCAAAACCACAUUUGCUAACACAUGUAUCAUAGACGAUGUUGAUACUCAAAACCGUGACCCCCUUUUGCCUGCCUCCCACUCUGGAGCCUGGAAAAGCAGAUACCAACAUCCUCUGCUGCUGGACGUGGCCAUGUGACCCACUUCUGGCCAAGGAGAGGGAAAGAGAAGUUUUCUGAAGGUUUCUGGGCAAGAGAUUUCUCUUCUAGAUCAGAAAGAAGUAUACAAAUUGCUCUACACUGCCUGCUGCUUCCUGCCUUUGAGGACAUGUGACUCAAGUUGGUGUGACCACUCUGUUGCCAUGGGGAAACAUGAGGAGAACCUCAAAGUCACCAACCCAGAAACCUGCCACUGUUAAGCUUCUGAAUCAGGACCAAAAAUCACUCACCUUCUCUGUAAGAAAAACGAACCUUACAUUAUUCAAGCCAGUAUUUGUUGGUUAUUUUGUUACUUGCAACCAAAGAAUUCCUGAGAAAUAUAAUGCAGGGCAUGUUCCAACUGUUGGCUUUAUUUUAACCUUCAAAGUUUUAGGAAAGAAGUCCUUAAGUCCCUUUCCUGACUCAGGAUAUGGAAUAAGAUAGCACUGUGGUGGAAUUUGUUGUUUUUGCCUGCUCAGUUUCCAUUUCUCCCUCUUCUUGGUGGUAUUAUCUUGAUUUCUCCUGGGGAGCUGCCCCUUUCUCACCCUCAGAUCUUACAGUUUAGGGGCACUGACCCUACCCCUGACAACAGGAUUGAAUAUGACUCUUGGGCUUGGCAAGUCAGAGUUUUGCACUCCUGUGAUAUUGUGACUGGUUCAGGGAUAGGACCAAGAAACAGAGAGAAUGAGAUCAUCCUAAUGGCAGCGGUCAAACCACUUGAUCAGGAAAUGCCUGAAGCCUGGUCUAAAUCCAGAAAUUAACAUAUGAGGAAAUAUAUUCUUUCUGGCAUAGGUAGUUUGAGUUAAAUUUCUGAUACCGGCAACCAAAAGAGGAGUGACUUCUAAGACCAUGUCACCAGAACCACAGCAUUUUCAUCAUCUGUGCUGGAAUGUCCUAACAGAAGCUAGAUGCCACAAAUAAGGGAUGCUAUAAAGGGAAUUCCAGUCCUCAGUAGGAAGUUAAAGUAAAUUACCCUUAAGAUCUCUUUCAAUUCUCAAGUUAUAUGAUGCUAUGAACAUCCUGUUUCUGGAGGGAGAUAUGGCAUGAGAGGAGCAUGGUGGCUUAAGGGAUAGUCAGCAAUCUGCUUUUGCGUAGUUCAUGCUUGAUAAAUGCUAGAUGAAUGGAAGAGAUUGUGGAGAUCUGGGCAUCAUGGAAACAACACCAGACUGUUGGCCUGGAAACAUAGAUUCUGAUUCCAUUUGAGAACUGGGUCCCAUUUUAAACCCUGGCCAGCUAGAUUGACCUGAGCAAGACCUUGGCCCAUCAUUGACUCAGUAAACUCAUUUGUAAAAUGGGAAUAUAUCUUCAUGGUUUAAAGGGAAUCUUGGGAGAAGAAAAAUGUAAUGACAGGCCAAAGCAUUCAAGAGCCAUUGUGUGAGUCUCUGUGCUCCCUUCCACAUCACAGCAAGCACAGAAACACAUGUUACUAUGUGGUUGUCACAAGACCAAAGCAGCCUGGAUCACUGAGCCCUGGCAUGGAGGCCAGCUGCCCUGGAGAAUUGCCUAGCCCUGUUGUGGACUUGCACAGGAAAAAGUGUGUUUCCUAUCUACCUCACAUUUGGACCUGUAUGAAAGAUUCAACCUUGCUGCCAUGGGAAGUUUUUCUCAAGGUGGCUCAAGUUCAGAAGACUGGGUGUAGUCAGCCAAGAAAAUGCUUAGAAACUGAACUUUAUCCCAGUUUUAAGUGACUGUGCUGUUUGUGCUCGACUGUGCCUGUCUUUUGAGUCAAAGGAAAAUAGCAAACUGAACACCAAAGGAAAU